rnacentral:piRNA from 1 species
UAACAUCUCAGACGUUCUGGUGGAAAUUAGC